rnacentral:tRNA from 1 species
UCCCUGGUAGCUCAGUUGGUAAAGAAUCUGCCUACAGUGCAGGAGACCCUGGUUCGAUUCCUGGGUUGGGAA